AAACCGUUAGAAGGGAAGCCAAUGGAGUCAGCAAUUCAUCCAUCCCGAUUCAGUCACGAACGCUCCGGUCGCGCGCACGAUUUCGAUCUUUCUAGACGAAACGUUCACGUUCCAGUCCGGGCGUUUGUGGCGCACUUCGGGAGGGCGAGCGUCAAUGCCGGUAGGUUCACGAGUGAGAACGUUGCGAGAAAGGUAGGUGCUUCGGGACUGUUAAGCCUCGCCACCGAAUGACUCGUAAUCUACCGAGGAGGUCGCAACGCAUUCCUGCUCUGGCAGGCUGAUGUUGUGCUUAGUUGUAACGGAUGCGCAAUGCGACGGACGGCUUUGCCUGUGCGCUCGUAACGCAGUCGUUCGACGGCACGUCUAACAUACAGCACGCGUUGAGGACGUUGACGAGCAUACGGCUUCAUCCGACCCGUCUUGAAACACGGACCAAGGAGUCUAACAUGUUCGCGAGUCACUGGGUGAUCGAAACCCGUGGGCGCAAUGAAAGUAAAGACAGAAUGUUGAGAUGAGAAGCCUUCGGGCUGCAUCAUCGACCGACCUGUUCUACAUGUAGAAAGGUUUGAGUAAGAGCGAACCUGUUGGGACCCGAAAGAUGGUGAACUAUGCCUGAAUAGGGUGAAGCCAGCGGAAACA
rnacentral:rRNA from 1 species